GCCGGCGUAGCUCAGUUGGUAGAGCAGGAGACUCUUAAUCUUUUGGUCGUGGGUUCGAAUCCCUCCGCCGGUACCA
rnacentral:tRNA from 2 species